UACGUAGGGGGCUAGCGUUGUCCGUAAUCAUUGGGCGUAAAGAGCGUGUAGGCGGCCCGGUAAGUCCGCUGUGAAAGUCGGGGGCUCAACCCUCGAAUGCCGGUGGAUACUGUCGGGCUAGAGUGCGGAAGAGGCGAGUGGAAUUCCUGGUGUAGCGGUGAAAUGCGCAGAUAUCAGGAGGAACACCAAUUGCGAAGGCAGCUCGCUGGGACGUAACUGACGCUGAGACGCGAAAGCGUGGGGAGCAAACAGG
rnacentral:rRNA from 1 species